GACGAACGCUGGCGGCGUGCUUAACACAUGCAAGUCGAACGGUAAGGCCCCUUCGGGGGUACACGAGUGGCGAACGGGUGAGUAACACGUGGGUAAUCUGCCCUGCACUUCGGGAUAAGCCUGGGAAACCGGGUCUAAUACCGGAUAUGAACUCCUGCCGCAUGUGGGGGUUGGAACGCUUUUCGGUGCAGGAUGAGCCCGCGGCCUAUCAGCUUGUUGGUGGGGUAAUGGCCUACCAAGGCGACGACGGGUAGCCGGCCUGAGAGGGUGAUCGGCCACACUGGGACUGAGACACGGCCCAGACUCCUACGGGAGGCAGCAGUGGGGAAUAUUGCACAAUGGGCGAAAGCCUGAUGCAGCGACGCCGCGUGGGGGAUGACGGUCUUCGGAUUGUAAACCCCUUUCAGUAGGGACGAAGCGCAAGUGACGGUACCUGCAGAAGAAGCACCGGCUAACUACGUGCCAGCAGCCGCAGUAAGAC
rnacentral:rRNA from 1 species